AAUCAUAUAGCGAUGUAUGGCUGAACACUCAGAAGUCAGCAGAGGUCAUAGUAUUCGCCAAGAAGUGUGGCGGAGAAGGAC
rnacentral:ncRNA from 1 species